rnacentral:rRNA from 1 species
GACGAACGCUGGCGGCGUGCUUAACACAUGCAAGUCGAACGGAAAGGCCCUGCUUUUGUGGGGUGCUCGAGUGGCGAACGGGUGAGUAACACGUGAGUAACCUGCCCUUGACUUUGGGAUAACUUCAGGAAACUGGGGCUAAUACCGGAUAGGAGCUCCUGCUGCAUGGUGGGGGUUGGAAAGUUUCGGCGGUUGGGGAUGGACUCGCGGCGUAUCAGCUUGUUGGUGGGGUAGUGGCUUACCAAGGCUUUGACGGGUAGCCGGCCUGAGAGGGUGACCGGCCACAUUGGGACUGAGAUACGGCCCAGACGCCUACGGGAGGCAGCAGUGGGGAAUAUUGCACAAUGGGCGGAAGCCUGAUGCAGCAACGCCGCGUGCGGGAUGACGGCCUUCGGGUUGUAAACCGCUUUCGCCUGUGACGAAGCGUGAGUGACGGUAAUGGGUAAAGAAGCACCGGCUAACUACGUG